GGCGCCCGAGCAGCUGGAGGGGCUGCGCGCCGGGCCCGCCGCCGACGUGUUCGCGUGGGCGGGCACGAUGGUGUUCGCGUCGUCCGGGCGGCU
rnacentral:tRNA from 1 species